UGCUUUGAAUUCGCUUCUUCA
rnacentral:siRNA from 1 species